CUUUCAAUCACGCGUCAAGCCUACUUGCAUUGGAUCAAGGAAACAAUAUACUCCAAAUACAACGUGGUUCGUUUUUCCAACUGAGCGUCAUUUCGAUGAGGCAUUUAAAGUGAUUGAAAGUAAAAGGUUUGAAGAUUUCAAAAUCAAGCGAGCGUCUAACGCUAUGUUUACCUUCGAACAUUUUGAGAAAAGAGGAUACAAAUUGGACCGAAGCGACGCUCUGACGAUAAUGAAAUUGUUUGCUAAACACGUAUUGUUUGAAAUGCCGACGAUUCCUGACUGGUAUGACGAUGAAAAGUUCAAGAGCAGAGCGAAAUCGCUAAUGAUUAGUGAUAAUGAUCCAGGCUUGACCCUCUAUGACCUAACCCGAUUAAGAACUAGAGAGGAGACGAAAUUACUCACACAUUUGGACUACAUGAUCUUUGCGAGUUCGCGUGCAUGAUAUAGUGAGUAUUUGCUUCCCAAAGGACCUCUCCAGGCGUGUUUUGCCUACAUGCGCGAGAAUCGAUUAAGAGGAUUUUGCUUACGAUGGGCACUGGAUUUUUUUUCGAGCUGACACGCGGAAAAUUGCCAAUCGAUUGCUGUGAAAUGAUCAUGGGGAAGUUGAAGAACGAGUAUUUAUGUCUUAUUU